rnacentral:rRNA from 1 species
CGGCGGACGGGUGAGUAACGCGUGGGCAACCUGGCCUGUACAGGGGGAUAACACUUAGAAAUAGGUGCUAAUACCGCAUAACGGGAGAAGCCGCAUGGCUUUUCCUGAAAACUCCGGUGGUACAGGAUGGGCCCGCGUCUGAUUAGCCAGUUGGCAGGGUAACGGCCUACCAAAGCGACGAUCAGUAGCCGGCCUGAGAGGGCGGACGGCCACACUGGGACUGAGACACGGCCCAGACUCCUACGGGAGGCAGCAG